UGGGGAAUAUUGCACAAUGGGGGAAACCCUGAUGCAGCGACGCCGCGUGAGCGAAGAAGGCUUUCGAGUCGUAAAGCUCUGUCCUAUGAGAAGAUAAUGACGGUAUCAUAGGAGGAAGCCCUGGCUAAAUACGUGCCAGCAGCCGCGGUAAUACGUAUGGGGCGAGCGUUGUCCGGAAUUAUUGGGCGUAAAGGGUACGUAGGCGGUUUUUUAAGUCAGGUGUCAAAGCGUGGAGCUUAACUCCAUUAAGCACUUGAAACUGAAAGACUUGAGUGAAGGAGAGGAAAGUGGAAUUCCUAGUGUAGCGGUGAAAUGCGUAGAUAUUAGGAGGAAUACCGGUGGCGAAAGCGGCUCUCUGGUCUGUAACUGACGCUGAGGCUCGAAAGCGUGGGGAGCGAACAGG
rnacentral:rRNA from 1 species